rnacentral:rRNA from 1 species
GAUGAACGCUGGCGGCGUGCUUAACACAUGCAAGUCGAACGAAGCAAUAUAACAGAAGCUCUUCGGAGUGAAAGAUAUAUUGACUGAGUGGCGGACGGGUGAGUAACGCGUGGGUAACCUACCUCAUACAAGGGGAUAACAGUUAGAAAUAGCUGCUAAUACCGUAUAAGCACACAGGACCGCAUGGUCAAGUGUGAAAAACUCCGGUGGUAUGAGAUGGGCCCGCGUCUGAUUAGCUAGUUGGUAAGGUAAUGGCUUACCAAGGCGACGAUCAGUAGCCGACCUGAGAGGGUGAUCGGCCACAUUGGGACUGAGACACGGCCCAAACUCCUACGGGAGGCAGCAGUGGGGAAUAUUGCACAAUGGGGGAAACCCUGAUGCAGCGACGCCGCGUGAAGGAAGACGUAUUUCGGUAUGUAAACUUCUAUCAGCAGGGAAG